UACAUGGGGUGCAAACGUUGCUCGGAAUUAUUGGGCGUAAAGCGCGCGUAGGCGGUUACUUAAGUCGGAUGUGAAAGCCCUCGGCUUAACUGAGGAAGUGCAUCCGAAACUGAGUAGCUAGAGUACGAAAGAGGGUCGCGGAAUUCCCGGUGUAGAGGUGAAAUUCGUAGAUAUCGGGAGGAACACCAGUGGCGAAGGCGGCUAUCUGGACGGUUUCUGACGCUAAGACGCGAAAGCGUGGGGAGCAAACAGG
rnacentral:rRNA from 1 species